rnacentral:misc_RNA from 1 species
GACAAUUGUCAAAAUUUAUCCGUUUUGUUAAUGACCUGCAUCAUAACCAGAUGUUACAGAACUAGAAAAGCUAAGUAUUUCUGUUUUAGUGAACUUUAAUUACCUUAGUCCUUGUUAAUUCAGUAAUGGUUAUUGGUAAACAAAAUAAGAAAAAAAGGGUUGUCUUGAUACACGCAUGCACACUCAUUUAACUGCUCAAUUUCUUCAUCCAAAUGUAUGCCAUUUUAAUAAUCUAUAAAUUGCUAUUUGAUCCCUAUAAUUUAAUAAAACUAACUACUUGAUCCCCGUAUUUUGAAAAAUGCACUGUUUAGUCCCUAUAUUUUGCUUUUGUUAAACCGUUUAGUCUCUUCAUCAAUUUUUUAUUAGUUAAUACUGAUCAAAUUAUUAUUUAGUCUCUCU